rnacentral:ncRNA from 2 species
CGAGGCCGCGCGGGAGAGUUCCGCCCCCGGUGGGGGCGGGCGCCGAAGGAGCAAGUCCUCCCUUGAAUCUCUCAGGCACAGAUACCGCGCGGGCGAG